rnacentral:lncRNA from 1 species
GGCCACCGUCACUUGAUUGGAAUCAAAAGCUCGAGAAACUUGAGAUUUCGAAGGUAGAGAUAUGCCUAUGAUAUAGAAUAUUUUCAAUUUGAGUUUAUGGUAAAUCUGUAUACAUCGUAAAAGGAGCAUAUUAUUGUUUGUUGCAAGAUCAGAACAUGUAGACUAUGCCCGCUAUUUUUUAUUUUAUAAACUGGUCAGAAAGAUUAGAUUAUCAUUUAUUACACUAACACCAUAAUAUCUAGAAACAUCUAUUUCAGUUUGAUUGUAAUACCCCCUAUAAUAUCUUAUUUGUGAAGAAGGAUCACCUUUUUUAGUAUUGGGCCUAUGUCAACUGAUUGGAACCUAAACCUUGAGAAACCUGGAAUUUGGAAGGUAGAACUGAAACGCUUCAAAAACAGAAUAUUUUCAGUUUGAGUUUAGCAGACGGUAAAUCUGUAUACAUCUAAGAGAAAUAUAUUAUUGUUUGUCGUUAUAACAGAGCAUGAAGACUCUUCAUCUUUAAGGAUCCACAGAGGCCAAAGCUUAAAUUACUUUCACUUUCUUGUUCCAUAUAUGAACUUGCAUAUUGCCUCCAUCCCAAUUUAACUGUAUUCGUAAGAUUCAAAAAAUGUCCCUAAUUAAACGCAACAAUAGAUGCUCACCGGUCCCAAUAUUCCAGCAUGUGCACUAGUAUAUUGGGCCCCAUUUGUAACAAAAAAUAAAUCUGAAGCACCUUAUCUUAUCCAUCCAUGGCCUAAAGGCUGGAACGAUCUAGUUUCUUCCACACUUUGUUUCUUCUCACACCCUGCCCUCC